GCCGUGGUAGCUCAGUGGUAGAGCACAUCUCUGAAAAAGAUGGGGUCGAUGGUCCGAUUCCAUUCCACGGCA
rnacentral:tRNA from 1 species